AGCAGUAUGGUGUAAUGCUGCAUGCGGGGUUUGGCUAUGUCUUUGACUUGUAAAAGUGUACUUAUCCCCGAGGUCCUUGUUCGAGUCAAGGUACUGCUC